AGAAUCAACGCUGGCGGCGUGCCUAACACAUGCAAGUCGAACGCGGUUACCCCGCAAGGGGUAACUGAGUGGCGAACGGGUAGAGUAACACGUGGGUGACCUACCUUCGAAUGGGGGAUAACGUCCCGAAAGGGACGCUAAUACCGCAUAACAUCCUGUCCUUGAACGGAUGGAGAUCAAAGCCGGGGAUCGUAAGACCUGGCGUUUGAAGAGGGGCCCGCGUCCGAUUAGCUAGUUGGUGAGGUAACGGCUCACCAAGGCGACGAUCGGUAGCCGGCCUGAGACGGGCGCGGCCACGACGUGGGAACUGGACGACACGGCCAGACUCCUAGGGAGCAGCAGUGGGGAACUUGUCGCAAGUGGGCGCGAAGCCUGACGGAACGCAACGCCGCGUAGGAGGAGUGAACGGUUCGUUCGGGAUUACGGUAAACUUCCUUCGGUU
rnacentral:rRNA from 1 species